rnacentral:rRNA from 1 species
AUAUUCUGUAGCAAGGUUAACCGAAUAGGGGAGCCGAAGGGAAACCGAGUCUUAACUGGGCGUUAAGUUGCAGGGUAUAGACCCGAAACCCGGUGAUCUAGCCAUGGGCAGGUUGAAGGUUGGGUAACACUAACUGGAGGACCGAACCGACUAAUGUUGAAAAAUUAGCGGAUGACUUGUGGCUGGGGGUGAAAGGCCAAUCAAACCGGGAGAUAGCUGGUUCUCCCCGAAAGCUAUUUAGGUAGCGCCUCGUGAAUUCAUCUCCGGGGGUAGAGCACUGUUUCGGCAAGGGGGUCAUCCCGACUUACCAACCCGAUGCAAACUGCGAAUACCGGAGAAUGUUAUCACGGGAGACACACGGCGGGUGCUAACGUCCGUCGUGAAGAGGGAAACAACCCAGACCGCCAGCUAAGGUCCCAAAGUCAUGGUUAAGUGGGAAACGAUGUGGGAAGGCCCAGACAGCCAGGAUGUUGGCUUAGAAGCAGCCAUCAUUUAAAGAAAGCGUAAUAGCUCACUGGUCGAGUCGGCCUGCGCGGAAGAUGUAACGGGGCUAAACCAUGCACCGAAGCUGCGGCAGCGACACUGUGUGUUGUUGGGUAGGGGAGCGUUCUGUAAGCCUGUGAAGGUGUGCUGUGAGGCAUGCUGGAGGUAUCAGAAGUGCGAAUGCUGACAUAAGUAACGAUAAAGCGGGUGAAAAGCCCGCUCGCCGGAAGACCAAGGGUUCCUGUCCAACGUUAAUCGGGGCAGGGUGAGUCGACCCCUAAGGCGAGGCCGAAAGGCGUAGUCGAUGGGAAACAGGUUAAUAUUCCUGUACUUGGUGUUACUGCGAAGGGGGGACGGAGAAGGCUAUGUUGGCCGGGCGACGGUUGUCCCGGUUUAAGCGUGUAGGCUGGUUUUCCAGGCAAAUCCGGAAAAUCAAGGCUGAGGCGUGAUGACGAGGCACUACGGUGCUGAAGCAACAAAUGCCCUGCUUCCAGGAAAAGCCUCUAAGCAUCAGGUAACAUCAAAUCGUACCCCAAACCGACACAGGUGGUCAGGUAGAGAAUACCAAGGCGCUUGAGAGAACUCGGGUGAAGGAACUAGGCAAAAUGGUGCCGUAACUUCGGGAGAAGGCACGCUGAUAUGUAGGUGAAGUCCCUCGCGGAUGGAGCUGAAAUCAGUCGAAGAUACCAGCUGGCUGCAACUGUUUAUUAAAAACACAGCACUGUGCAAACACGAAAGUGGACGUAUACGGUGUGACGCCUGCCCGGUGCCGGAAGGUUAAUUGAUGGGGUCAGCGCAAGCGAAGCUCUUGAUCGAAGCCCCGGUAAACGGCGGCCGUAACUAUAACGGUCCUAAGGUAGCGAAAUUCCUUGUCGGGUAAGUUCCGACCUGCACGAAUGGCGUAAUGAUGGCCAGGCUGUCUCCACCCGAGACUCAGUGAAAUUGAACUCGCUGUGAAGAUGCAGUGUACCCGCGGCAAGACGGAAAGACCCCGUGAACCUUUACUAUAGCUUGACACUGAACAUUGAGCCUUGAUGUGUAGGAUAGGUGGGAGGCUUUGAAGUGUGGACGCCAGUCUGCAUGGAGCCGACCUUGAAAUACCACCCUUUAAUGUUUGAUGUUCUAACGUGGACCCGUGAUCCGGGUUGCGGACAGUGUCUGGUGGGUAGUUUGACUGGGGCGGUCUCCUCCUAAAGAGUAACGGAGGAGCACGAAGGUUGGCUAAUCCUGGUCGGACAUCAGGAGGUUAGUGCAAUGGCAUAAGCCAGCUUGACUGCGAGCGUGACGGCGCGAGCAGGUGCGAAAGCAGGUCAUAGUGAUCCGGUGGUUCUGAAUGGAAGGGCCAUCGCUCAACGGAUAAAAGGUACUCCGGGGAUAACAGGCUGAUACCGCCCAAGAGUUCAUAUCGACGGCGGUGUUUGGCACCUCGAUGUCGGCUCAUCACAUCCUGGGGCUGAAGUAGGUCCCAAGGGUAUGGCUGUUCGCCAUUUAAAGUGGUACGCGAGCUGGGUUUAGAACGUCGUGAGACAGUUCGGUCCCUAUCUGCCGUGGGCGCUGGAGAACUGAGGGGGGCUGCUCCUAGUACGAGAGGACCGGAGUGGACGCAUCACUGGUGUUCGGGUUGUCAUGCCAAUGGCACUGCCCGGUAGCUAAAUGCGGAAGAGAUAAGUGCUGAAAGCAUCUAAGCACGAAACUUGCCCCGAGAUGAGUUCUCCCUGACCCUUUAAGGGUCCUGAAGGAACGUUGAAGACGACGACGUUGAUAGGCCGGGUGUGUAAGCGCAGCGAUGCGUUGAGCUAACCGGUACUAAUGAACCGUGAGGCUUAACCUUACAACGCCGAAGGUGUUU